rnacentral:rRNA from 1 species
ACCUGGUUGAUCCUGCCAGUAGUUAUAUGCUUGUCUCAAAGAUUAAGCCAUGCAUGUCUAAGUAUAAGUGUUUUAUGUCAGGCUGCAUAUGGCUCAUUAAAACAGUUAUAAACUCAUGUUGAUUGUGGCUUAUAUGUAUAACCCCGGUAAUUCUGCAGCUAAUUCAUGCCUCCAACAUGACUUACACGGAUAAUGUUGUGGUUGGCCUUUUUGAAAUCAACUUAAGCUUUGCUUAAGAUAUUUUGAUGAAUACCAACAAAAUGAAUUGCAUAGCUGAUGCUGGCAAUGAAUCAUUUAUGUGUCUGACCUAUCAGCUUUCGACGGUAAGAUAUUUGCUUACCGUGGCAAUGACGGGUAACGGGGGCUUAGGGUUUGAUUCCGGAGAGGAAGCCUGUGAAACGGCUACCACAUCUAAGGAAGGCAGCAGGCGCGCAAAUUACCCAAUCCUGACAUAGGGAGGUAGUGACAAGACAUAACAAUACAGAGCAUCCAUGUUCUGUAAUUGGAAUGGAAAUAUAAUAAAUCAUUGUCUGAGUAUCAAUUGGAGGGCAAGUCUGGUGCCAGCAGCCGCGGUAAUUCCAGCUCCAAAAGCAUAUAUUAAAGUUGUUGCGGUUAAAAAGCUCGUAGUUGGAUUUUGUUUAAUUAUCUGGUCUGCCCAUUGGGUAAGAACCUGGAUAAUUUAAACAAUUGUAAUAAAUGUAAUGCUGCACUUGGCUGUGUGGUGUUAUUUUUUUCGCAUUUACUUUGAGAAAAAUAAAGCGCUUAACGCAGGUAUUGCCUUGGAUCUGUGAGCAUGGAAUAUGUGUACAAGGCUUUGGUUUGUUGGUUUUUAAAAUUGAAGCAAUGGUGAACAGAAAUAGUUGGGGGCACUUGAAUUCAAUUGUCAGAGGUGGAAUUUUUGGAUUUAUUGAAGCCAAACUACUGCGAUAGCAUUUGCCAAAAAUGUUUUCAUUGAUCAAGAACGAAAGUUAGGGGAUCGAAGACGAUCAGAUACCGUCCUAGUCUUAACCAUAAACUAUGCCGACUAGAGAUUGGAUGUUGUUAUUUACAUGACAUAUUCAGCACCUGAAGAUAAAUCAAAGUUUUUGGGUUCUGGGGGGAGUAUGGUCGCAAGGCUGAAACUUAAA